GUUCGGAUGCGCUGGAAGACAGGUAGGAAAUCUGGUUAGUUUUCCGCAGUUCGCGUAAAACUGAAAAGAUUUGUUACAGGAACUACAAAGGAAUGGACAAGGC
rnacentral:pre_miRNA from 1 species